UACGUAGGGUGCAGGCGUUAAUCGGAAUUACUGGGCGUAAAGCGUGCGCAGGCGGUUUGCUAAGACAGGUGUGAAAGCCCCGGGCUUAACCUGGGAAUGGCGUUUGAAACUACGGAGCUGGAGUAUGGCAGAGGGGGGUGGAAUUCCACGUGUAGCGGUGAAAUGCGUAGAUAUGUGGAGGAACACCAAUGGCGAAGGCAGCCCCCUGGGCCAACACUGACGCUCAUGCACGAAAGCGUGGGGAGCAAACAGG
rnacentral:rRNA from 1 species